UCUCUCUCUCUCUCUUUCUCCUCUGCGUAUUACUGUUGCCGACGACGCAGGAGUACUUUCCGGCCACCAUUUUUAGCCACGCGCCGGACCGUUGGAUUCAGAGGCCUCCGAACUAUCGACCCACGCGGGAAUCUAGAGCUCACUCGCCGAUUAAACGCCUCAACCACUCGAUUUAAGUUCGGCCACCCCGCGACUUCAAAGUUGCGAUUCGGCCACCUCGGGCAUCCGUUUGCCGAUCCGUCACCACCAUCGUGUUCCUCGUGUUGUGGGCUUCAAAACCCAAUAACUUGUUCCUACAUCUACCAUAGUUGGGUGGUGGGCCCACCACGAGCCACCGCGAUCCACCGUAGACCGACGGUCGAAACUUAGUGUUCGAGGUUCCGAAGUACGUUUUGAGUCUCAGAAAAUCAUCGUUUGACUUAUUGUGGAACCCGAUCAUUUUGGAUUUGUAUGGAUUUGAUUGAUUGACUCUUGGUGAGCCGUUUUAAAAUAAGCUAAGGACCUAAGGUGUGGCUUUAGCUGUUGAGCAACUUGUGGAGCACGGACUCAGUAGCAAUGCAAUAAUGGUUUAGAGUUUUCAUAUGGCUGCCUUAAAUUUAAAGUAUUCAUACGUGUAAUAAUUUCUUCUAAUAAGUUUAUAUAAAAGUUUUAAAUUUUUCUGUAUUUCUUCGUAUCAUUUUAUUUAAUUCUUUUGGUCAAGUGCCUUACAUACUCGUAAACCCUAGAAUUACGAGUAUG